GAUAAGAGCGUCUGCUAAAUGACGUAAAUGUAAAUGUGUUUAUUAUCAAUCAUCAUGUCACGGCACCAAGAGUCGUGAAAUGAAUGUUUGUAUUGAUCCAUUCUCCACUCCUGUGUGUCCUCCUUAGGGAAACAGGCAUGAAAGGGAAGAUCCUGGUGAACGGAAAACCCAGAGAUCUCUGCACAUUUUGUCAGAUGUCCUGUUAUAUCAUGCUGGAUGACAUGCUGCUGCCGCACCUCACUGUCCGGGAGGCAAUGAUGGUGAAUGAGAUCCUGACUGCUCUAGGGCUCCAGGAGUGUGCUCACACCCGCACCAGCUCCCUAUCUGGGGGGCAGUGUAAACGGCUAGCAAUCGCCCUAGUCAACAACCCCCCAGUCAUGUUCUUUUUUUAUGAGCCAACCAGCUGUACAUCCUGAGUCAGGCCCAGUGCAUAUACAAAGGCACCGUCCCAUACCUCAUCCCCUAUCUGAAGAACCUAGGGCUCCCCUGCCCCACCUACCACAACCCGGCAGAUUUCAUCAUCAAAGUGGCAUCGGGGGAGUAUGGAGAUCGGAAUCCUGUUCUGUUUGAGGCGGUCCAGGGUGGAAUGUGAGCCAUAGAAGAAGAACUCAAGUGACAAAAAAGACACAUCUGAUGUUUGUCCAACAAACUAACCCAAGGUGAGUACUAAUGUUAAGGAUCACCAAACAAUAAGCCCCAUUUACUGACACACACGCACAAACACACUCACGCACACUUUAGACAGUGACACUGUGUUUUGUCGUGACAUGCCCAUCUCUGUCUCUUAUCACAGGACUCAGGAGCCAUUGAGAGCCAUUCAUUUGCCACAAGCACUUUGACACAGUUUUGCAUUCUAUUCAAUAGAACGUUGAUAACAAUAUGCCAAGACCAUGUAUGUGAGUAGAAUUACAAGGGCAUUCCUCAGGUACCUGGUUGCAAUAGCGUGCAUGUACACAACUUUUUGGGCCAGUUGUAUAAGAAAGGAGGGCUUGCAUGCUGUGAGUCAUUGUGAGCAUUUCGGUUUCAGGUGUUGACACACCUAAGGCUGAUGUCACACAUCUCAAUAGGAGUACUGAUCGGCUUGCUCUACUUGAACAUCGGCAACGACUCCAGCAAGGUCUUCAACAACACCGGCUUCCUCUUCUUCUCCAUGCUCUUCCUCAUGUUCGGAGCUCUGAUGCCCACCAUGCUCACAUGUGAUGUGACAGAAUUGUGCAUUAAUCAGCAAUG